GGGGAAUCUUCCGCAAUGGACGAAAGUCUGACGGAGCAACGCCGCGUGAGUGAUGACGGCCUUCGGGUUGUAAAGCUCUGUUAAUCGGGACGAAUGGUUCUUGUGCGAAUAGUGCGAGGAUUUGACGGUACCGGAAUAGAAAGCCACGGCUAACUACGUGCCAGCAGCCGCGGUAAUACGUAGGUGGCAAGCGUUGUCCGGAAUUAUUGGGCGUAAAGCGCGCGCAGGCGGAUUGGUCAGUCUGUCUUAAAAGUUCGGGGCUUAACCCCGUGAUGGGAUGGAAACUGCCAAUCUAGAGUAUCGGAGAGGAAAGUGGAAUUCCUAGUGUAGCGGUGAAAUGCGUAGAUAUUAGGAAGAACACCAGUGGCGAAGGCGACUUUCUGGACGAAAACUGACGCUGAGGCGCGAAAGCCAGGGGGGCGAACGGGAUUAGAUACCCCGGUAGUCCUGGCCGUAAACGAUGGGUACUAGGUGUAGGAGGUAUCGACCCCUUCUGUGCCGGAGUUAACGCAAUAAGUACCCCGCCUGGGGAGUACGACCGCAAGGUUG
rnacentral:rRNA from 1 species